rnacentral:rRNA from 1 species
UUAAGCAUAUAAGUAAGCGGAGGAAAAGGAACUAAACAGGAUUCCCUUAGUAAUGGCGAACGAACAGGGGAUCAGCUUGGGUUGGAAACCGGGGCUUCUGCCUUGGAUUGUGGCCUUUAGACAUACUACCAACGGCGGCGCGAGCGUAAGCCUCUUGGAACAGAGCGUCUACGUGGGUGAGAAUCCUGUGUUUCGCUUGAUGCCCGCCGUGCACGGUACUUGCUCUCAGAGUCACGCUCCUCGGAAUUGGAGCGUAAAUUGGGUGGUAAAUUUCAUCUAAAGCUAAAUACAGGCUCGAGACCGAUAGCAAACAAGUACCAUGAGGGAAAGAUGAAAAAGACUUUGAAAAGAGAGUUAAAAGUGCUUGAAAUCGCUGAACUGGAAGCGAAUGGAACUAGUGCUCUGGUUGAGAUUGCUGCAAGUGGCUGCGACAUCUGGGCUCUGGAACGCAAGUCCUUUGUCUGGUUUGAAGUAGUUGCUUGUAAUGUGUCUCAGCUUGAACAUCAGCGUCUAUGCAUACGUGAGGAUGGCCCUUAGCUCAUGCUGUGUUGCUGUGGCGAUACUCUUGUGCUUUUGGGGAUUCAGGUGUGUGUGGAUUGUUGAUCAAUUAGUUCCAUUCGACCCGUCUUGAAACACGGACCAAGGAG